GUAGCUCAGUGGUAGAGUGCUUGCCUCAUAUGCAUGAGGCCCUGGGUUCAAUUCCUCAGC
rnacentral:tRNA from 1 species